rnacentral:misc_RNA from 1 species
GCAUGUUAUUGCAUGAACUGCAAACCAAAAAAUCUGAUAUGUGCACCGUUUCUCGUCUCAUUCCAUUCAAAUUCAUUAUCUUCGUAGAGUUACUUAAUGUCAUACUGUUUCUUCCAUGUUUUCACACAGUUUUUAACAUGAGCUUUCACCAAGUCAAGUUGAAACUUUUAAUUCACAGCCAAUACAGGUGCUACGUAUGUGGCAGGUUUUAAUUUGUUAUCCAAUUUAUUUUUAUUGCCCACUCUUAGUCGUUCCUCGACCACAAGGAUCUUGUUGAGGCAAUGGUCCGUUUCAUUUGUCCACAUCAUGUUCUUCACUUUGUCUUUCCCCAUACCAGCUUGAAUAGGAAAGGCAUCAAUAGUCUCCGAAGCAUCAUCACAAUUCCCCAAAGUGAGACAUAACUGAUCAUAGUCCUCAAUGACUUUUGCACGAAAAAUCCUGGCAUCAAGAUGAGUCUUGACGUAGUCAUUCCAUACUGAAUUUUCUGCAACAACCAUCUUUUGUGCUCCAUCUCACUCAAAUCCUUUAUGAGCAAGAAGCUCCUAAAAUCUUAAACUGCUUCUUCCAUGUUUUUGGCCUAUUCUUGAUGUUCUCCUUAGUCAAAUGAAGCCCAAAUUUUUCAUUUAUGUUUGCAACAGUAAUCAUAUAUGCUUCAGCCUUCAAAGUUCCAUCCAUUUUGUUGCCCUUUUUGGUUGCUCAACAAGUAUCUUGGUAAGGCAACUAUCCAUUUCAUUUGUCCAUGCCAUGUAUUUCACCUUCUCUUCAGCUUGGCAACUGCUAGUCAGGUAGACCUCCACUCUGUCCCACUGGCCGAGUGACGAGCAACGGUGUUUUUGGUUGCAGUUAAGAUUUCAUAUAGCUAAUUAUCCUACAUUUUGCAGCAAUAUUCGAUUGCAGUAAAAUUAUACUCUGAAAAGUCAAAUACAUGAAAGGAAAAUGAGAAACUGAAAGGCGAAGAGAAGAAGAAGAAAACUAUUACCUGUGUUGAGGGCUUCGUUUUGCUUUUAUCUCACAAAGUGUUAGGGUUUCACCGUGAUUGUGAUCGGCGAUUGCCAAUUCCGUCGUCAGGAUCAAAUCGCCACGCUAAUUCUCCACUCUGGGUGAAAAAUUUU